AGGAUUUCUGACACCAGAAGACCUAGGGUACAGGAAUUGAGAAACCAGCCUCAGCCACAAGGACCCACACCUCUCUCACUUGCCCUUCACUGAAGACUCCACCACCCCCAAGCAAAGAAGUGCAGUCUAGACCAGCACCAGCCAACAGAGAGAACGCAAGCCGCCAGAGAGCCACGAGUGUAAUUUUUAAUUUUCUAGUGGCCACAUUUUUUAAGGUUAAAAUAAACAGGUGAAGUUCA